UCCGUAGGCGGGCAAUUAAGUCAGGGGUGAAAGUCUGCAGCUCAACUGUAGAAUUGCCCUUGAUACUGGUUGUCUUGAGUCAUUAUGAAGUAGUUAGAAUAUGUAGUGUAGCGGUGAAAUGCAUAGAUAUUACAUAGAAUACCAAUUGCGAAGGCAGAUUACUAAUAAUGUACUGACACUGAUGGACGAAAGCGUGGGGAGCGAACAGGAUUAGAUACCCUGGUAGUCC
rnacentral:rRNA from 1 species